UACGAAGGGGGCUAGCGUUGCUCGGAAUCACUGGGCGUAAAGCGCACGUAGGCGGAUUGUUAAGUCAGGGGUGAAAUCCUGGAGCUCAACUCCAGAACUGCCUUUGAUACUGGCGAUCUUGAGUCCGGGAGAGGUGAGUGGAACUGCGAGUGUAGAGGUGAAAUUCGUAGAUAUUCGCAAGAACACCAGUGGCGAAGGCGGCUCACUGGCCCGGUACUGACGCUGAGGUGCGAAAGCGUGGGGAGCAAACAGGAUU
rnacentral:rRNA from 1 species